rnacentral:tRNA from 1 species
UAAGGUGUGGUCAGAUGAUAAGGCAACAGGUUUUGGUCCUGCUAUUCGAAGGUUUGAAUCAUUCCAUCUUCA